rnacentral:tRNA from 1 species
GUCUCUGUGGCGCAAUCGGUUAGCGCGUUCGGCUGUUAAUCGAAAGGUUGGUGGUUCGAGCCCGCCCAGGGACG